rnacentral:rRNA from 1 species
AACGAACGCUGGCGGCGUGGUUGAUACAUGCAAGUCGAACGGGAAACAGGGCUUCGGUCCUGGAGUACAGUGGCGGACGGGUGAGUAACGUAUGAUCAAUCUGCCCGGAAGACCAGGAUAGCCAUCCGAAAGGAUGGGUAAUACUGGAUAAGCCCACGGUGAGGCAUCUCUCUGUGGGAAAAGGAUUGGGAUCUUCGGACCUUUCGCUUUCGGAUGAGAUUAUAUUCUAUCAGCUUGUUGGUGAGGUAACGGCUCACCAAGGCGACGACGGAUAGCCGGCCUGAGAGGGUGGACGGCCACACUGGAACUGAGACACGGUCCAGACUCCUACGGGAGGCAGCAGUGCUGAAUUAUUCGCCAAUGCGCGAAAGCGUGACGGUGCGACGCCGCGUGAGGGACGAAGGCCUUCGGGUUGUAAACCUCUGUCAGGACAUAGAAAACCGAUUCGGUUAAUAGCCGGGUCGCUGAUCAUGUCCAAAGGAAGCACAGGCUAAUUUCGUGCCAGCCGCCGCAGUAAAAC